rnacentral:snRNA from 1 species
AUCGCUUCUCGGCCUUUUGGCUAAGAUCAAGUGUAGCAUCUGUUCUUAUCAGUUUUUUUUUUUUUUUUUGUCUUUUCUAGGGUCACACCCA